UGAAGACAAUGUGAGUACUGCUUGUUCUAUGAUGUGAAAGGAAAUAGAACUAAAGAGGGGAGAUUGUUACCAUGAUAUGUGACACCAUAAAAACUCCAAUCAUACCAUCGUUGUCUGGAGGUAGCUCUAAUCCUGAAUCUUCUCCAAAAACCAAAAUCUAAAAUACCAGGUUUGGGUCGAGCGUCAGGUCAAAAAUCAUGGCCCAAACAAGCAGUACACACUACACAAAAAAUCAAUACAAAAAGAUUGACAAAUCAAAUGGUCGCAGGUAAAGGUGCACGAAAAUCUCCAUAGCCCAGAUAAAUAAGUAAUAAAAAAAAGGUCCAAAAUGAGCCGUAGGAGGGCUUGCCUCCAGUUUAUUAAUACUUGGCCUUCUCUUUCUGCAAGUAAAUACUGCCACUGCCCAAUGACCAACGCUUUGUCCAAUAUUAACAGAUUUGUGUGUUCACUAAAACAAGUAAGUCUAAAUUUAUAGAUGCAAAACAAGAGAGUAGUAGAUGCAACUUUGCAGAUACAGAACGUGCAUAGAUGACCAAUAUCAGUAUCAAGUAUCAACACAUCACGAAUAGCAGUGUGGGCUAGUUCAUGCUUGUUAUUCAGUAAGCAAGAAAGAGGGCCUGGACUUCCAUGGUAAUCAAGAGUUCUAUGGCAGUAAGGAAGAAUAGGCAAAUAUAUAUAGUCAGUAUAUAGAUGGAGGAUCUGUACAUUGCAGCAAGUAAAUUGGCAAGGAGAGUCGCGAUCCACUCACUGGUAACUCAUUUUACAUCAUUGAGCCAGUCAGCAUGGCAGUACGAUGCAAGUAGCAACAUGCCAGCAGUGCAGCCCAUGAGAAGGAGAUGAUAGCUAAAUAGCUUAGGUGGUCAGGUUUGCUGCAAGAAGAUAGAUGAUUCCACGAAGAACCAGAUGGUUGUGCUUCCACACGGUCGAUAUAGUUAAUAAACUGCUAGCUUCAGUAAUGGACAAAUUCAUAAUCUAUCAUUCAUAAAAGAGACAUGGUCUGAUAGUAAAUUUUAUUUUCAGAGGUUAGUUGCCUGCGUUGAGGAAAUAACUUCUGAAUUCUGAUAAUCUUUAGCUGAUAUGAUGUCCAAAAUAAUAUUUUUUAUAAUAUCAAAAAUAACUGAUAUGGUGUAUACAUCAGUUCCAUGUAAAUAAGACUCAAUUAAGAGAGACUAAGUAUUAAUAUCAUUUUUUUAGAAAAUUUACAUUUAUAGUUUUUUUUAAAAAAUGAGAUGUCCAAGUAGGCAAGUACUCUCAUGAGUCUACAUGUGUGUGUAAACUGUUCUGAUAAAUUUAGAGACUGGUAAUGGCAGCGUAAUGAGAUUAUCUAAAAUCUCAGCUCUACUCUGUUCCUGAAUUAUCUACUGUCUUUUUUCUUCAAGUUUGUGUAAGCUUUUCACAUAGAGAAGAAGAAAAGCAUUGCUCAAUCUAUCUUCAAGUUUGUGUAAGCUUUUCACAUAGAGAAGAAGAAAAGCAUUGCUCAAUCUAAAAGAAUGUUGGGCUUUCAUGGUUGGGUUCAUUGCCGUCUGAGUUAGCUGAGCUAACCUCUAUUAAAUCUAUGGCUUGUAUUUCAGUUCUUCAGGAUUGUUUUGGCUUGAGAAUUUAGACUCAGUUGCCACGUUCAGUUUAGUGCAAUAUUGCAGAGUAUGGUUCUGAUUCAUCAUUUGCUAUGUCAGUACACAUAUAUAGAUAAUAAUCUUUGGAAGUGCAUCUGAAACUAUCUUUAUAGUCUGCAACGGCUACAUGAAUGAAGACAAUGUGAAUACUGCUUGUUCUAUGAUGUGAAAGGAAAUAGAACUAAAGAGGGGAGAUUGUUACCAUGAUAUGUGACACUGUAAAAACUCCAAUCAUACCAUCGUUGUCUGGAGGUAGCUCCAAUCCUGAAUCUUCUCCAAAAAACAAAACCUGAAAUACCAGGUUUGGGUCGAGCGCCAGGUCAAAAAUCAUGGCCCAAACAAGCAGUACACACUACACAAAAAAUCAAUACAAAAAGAUUGACAACUCAAAUGGUCGUAGAAAAGGUGCACGAAAAUCUCUAUAGCCCAGUCAAAUAAGUAAUAAAAAAAGGUCCGAAAUGAGCCGUAGGAGGGCUUGCCUCCAGUUUAUUAAUACCUGGCCUUCUCUUUCUGCAAGUAAAUAUUGUCACUGCCCAACAACUAACGCUUUGUCCAAGAUUAACAUAUUUGUGUGUUCACUAAAACAAGUAAGUCUAAAUUUAUAGAUGCAAAACAAUGGAGUAGUAGAUGCAACUUUGCAGAUACAGAACGUGCAUAGAUGACCAAUAUCAGUAUCAAGUAUCAACACAUCACUAAUAGCAGUGUGGACUAGUUCAUGCUUGUUAUUUAGUAAGCAAGAAAGAGGGCUUGGACUUCCAUGGUAAUCAAGAGUUCUAUGGCAGUAAGGAAGAAUAGGGAAAUAUAUAUAGUUAGUAUAUAGAUGGAGGAUUUGUACGUUGCAGCAAGUAAAUUGGCAAGGAGAUUCGAGAUCCCUGACUGGUAACUCAUUUUACAUCAUUGAGCCAGUCAGCAUGGCAGUACGAUGCAAGUAGGAACAUGCCAGUAGUGCAACCCAUGAGAAGGAGAUGAUAGCUAAAUAGCUUAGGUGGUCAGGUUAGCUGCAAGAAGGUAGAUGACUCCAGAGGGCACAGAUUAACUGAAUGACAGUAUACUGAAAUUAGCAUAUAGAAUUUUGAGGUGGUUGCAGAGAGAUUGUGAUUCAGAGAUGAAAGGCACAAAGGCAGUUGUAGUGUUUUGGCAUCCUGGUUUGUGUUCACAGUGCAUGCAUUUUUAGUUGUUCUACUCAAAGAACUCUUGAACAUACUUGUCGACAGGCAUGAUCUGAUGAUGCCCAACUUGUG
rnacentral:lncRNA from 1 species